AAAAUAAAAUAAGAAAGACAAACUUGAUAGCGUAGAUUUUAAAUGUCUACCCUCGCACACGAAAAAAGGGAGCCAUACAAUUUCUUUAGAAAUGACAGUAUGUAUGCACCCACACAAACAAUAGUCAUACACACACAACCCACGCAUAUACACGCACAAACAUCAGGCUUUUCUCUCUCUCCCAAACUUACUGCCGCCCCACCACCUCCACCGGCGAAGUCCCUGCUCUCACCAUCUCUGUCGAGCUCUGCAACCAGCCACCCACUUUCUUCCCCCUCUUCUCUAUAUCUUUCUAAAACUAACCCCCCUCCUUCACUUAUAUACCGCCGGCGGCGGAUCUGACUGUCGGCCGGCCGGCCGGCGUUUUCAAAACCGUCCAACGCCGCCUCCUUUUCCCCCUUUCCCUGUCACCAAACAACUUAGACGAGCCAUGAAGGCCGCUGGCCAGAUCUGGCCGAUUUUGAUUUUCCGACGUUGCUCCGGCGAACGCCAUUGAAGCAACGCCGUUGUGCCGCUGCCACCAUGCCGUUAUUGCCACUGUUUUGGUGUUAAUUAUUGUGAUUAUGAAUAUUAUGUUGCUCCAGUUAUUGGUGGGAAUACUCAUCGGGAAUGACCUUCAAAGAAGGAAGACCUUAAUUUUAUAUUGUAUUUUUAUAUUCUUAUGCCUGUACAAUGAAAAUUUUAUUUUUUGGGGUGUUGGUUGGAAUAUUCUUUACGCAA